rnacentral:lncRNA from 1 species
CCUUCCCUUUAAAGAUCAAAGAAGAAAUGUGUUGGGGGUGGUGUCUGACGAUGAACAUUUUCUUUAUUUGGAUCUGUAACAAGCUCUCUUGGCUGCUCGAACGAUAUCCUCUACCUGAGGAAGAGCCAAUCUCUCUAGGUUAGCUGCGUAAGGCAUUGGAACAUCAGCUCCUGCUAUCCUCUCCACCGGUGCAUCCAAGUAUGAAAAGCUCUCCUCCACAACCGACGCACUGAUCCCACCACCAUAACACAAACAUUAAUCAAUGAUUCUGACAAUAGCGAUAUAGUAAUCCAAAAAUAGAUUCGUUUCUAACCAGAUUUCUGCACAGACUCCAUGCUGAGGGAAACCUUCUUCAACUGUUACCAAUCUACUUGUUUUUCUCACUGAAGCAUUGAUGGUUGCUCUGUCUAGCGGACGGAUUGACCGCAGAUUUAUUACCUAUCCAUUUUAUUACCACAAAAAAAUUCAGAGCUUACGUAUUUGAUGUAGAAUCACAAGAUCAAAAAAACGUCAUAAAUUCCACAACGGGCGACUUCUCCGGCGGCUCUUCUCGCCGUACGUUACGGAUGAGUCUCUCUGCGCCGGAAGGAUGGCCACCGUGGCUGGUUGCUGCUUGCGGCGAAUCCAUCAAAGACUUCACUCCUCGACGAGCCACCACAUACGAGAAGCUCGACAAGGUUAAUCCAUUCGCAUUAAAUUAAGUAUUAAACAAAACAAUCAUUAGCAGUUAUAAUAAUAAUUAUUAUUAUUUUGACUUUUUAUAGAUAGGGCAAGGAACUUACAGCAAUGUGUACAAAGCUAAGGAUCUAUUAACUGGAGAGAUUGUAGCAUUGAAGAAGGUUAGGUUUGAUAAUUUGGAAGCAGAGAGUGUAAAGUUCAUGGCCAGAGAGAUUCUUAUGCUGCAACGCCUAGAUCAUCCUAACGUUAUUAAGCUUCAAGGCUUAGUUGCUUCCAGGGUUUCUUGUAGUCUCUACCUUGUUUUUGAGUAUAUGGACCAUGAUCUCACUGGUCUUGCUGCUACUCAAGGUUCCAAGUUUGAUAUUUCUCAGGUUUGUUGUCUUUUUUUUUAACUUUAAAAGUGCUGAAAAGUGUUUUAACGGACCAGAUGCCCUCUUAGGUCAGAUGCUCUACUAGAAGAGCCAGAUGUCCAUCACCAGAUGUCGCUCUAGUUGAGCAUCUAUCCCCCAACACGGACAUCUGGUCUGGCUCUAGUUGAGCGUCUGGCCUGGCCCAAGAGGACAUUUGGUCCGUCGCAACAAAAAAUAUUUUCUAGAUAAAUAAUUAACUCCAUUUUGUUUAGGUGAAGUGUUUUAUGAAGCAGCUACUAUCUGGGCUAGAGCAUUGUCAUAGUAGAGGAGUGUUACAUCGAGACAUCAAAGGCUCUAAUUUGCUGAUAGAUAACAAUGGAAUACUGAAGAUUGCUGAUUUCGGGUUGGCUACGUUUUAUGACCCAAAGCAAAAAAAGCAAACGAUGACUAGUCGUGUUGUCACGCUCUGGUACCGUCCUCCAGAGCUUCUUCUUGGAGCUACGAACUAUGGAACCGGUGUUGAUCUCUGGAGUGCUGGUUGUAUCAUGGCAGAGUUACUUGCUGGCAAACCCGUUAUGCCAGGAAGAACCGAGGUAAAACCAAAACCUUUAGCUAUCAGAUACAGAUGUAUAAAAUUAAUGCUUCUUGGUGAGUUUAACUUUUAUCUUUGGAAACCAUCUUGGGACCAUAUAAAUGCAUAAUUAAUAAUGACUAUUGUUUUUUUUAAACUAAUUUUGUUAUUUUUUUGUUAGGUAGAACAACUUCAUAAGAUAUUUAAGUUAUGUGGCUCCCCAUCAGAUUUGUACUGGAAGAAGUACAAAUUACCCAACGCUACCCUUUUUAAGCCGCAGCAUCCGUACAAACGUUGUGUCUGAAGCAUUUAGCGGCUUCGCUCCAUCAACUGUGCAUCUAGUGGAGACACUUCUCGCUAUAGAUCCUGAUGAUCGUGGAACUUCUACAUCAGCUUUAAAUAGUGAAGUUAGUCAUCUUUGCUUUAUAAUCUUUCAAUUGCUUAUAAAACAUGAAACUUAGUUUGUUGAUUAGAUUUGUUAUGCAAGUAAAAGCACUUUCUAAGCAAAAGUUUCUAUAAUUUGGUUUGUAUGUGUACAGUUCUUUACGAGUGAACCAUUAGCGUGUGAUCCAUCAAGUCUACCAAAAUAUCCACCUUCCAAGGAACUGAAUAUAAAGCUAAGGGACGAAGAGGCAAGAAGGUACUAACUCUUACAUCGUCUUCUAUGCGUCUUCUAAAUGCUAUUGGUUAGAUUCAUUUAUAACCCUCAUUCGUUUUGGCUUUUAGGCAAAAGAGUCUUGCGAGAAAAGCUAAUGGUGUUGAAGGAGCUAGAAGAGUAAGGUUUCGUGGGGAUCGCACAGGGCGAGCUUUUCCAGCUCCAGAAGCUAAUUCCGAGAAUCAAGCCAACUUAGAUGUGAGCACAAUCUUCUUUUCAUCUCAUUCAUACUCAUGCACACACACAAUAUGUAUGUAACGUAACCCUUUCCCACUGUGUUUUACAGAGAUGCAGAAUGUUGCCACAAACAAAUGGGAAGAGCAAGAGCGAGAAGUUCCCUCCUCCUCACCAGGAUGGUGCAGUUGGGCACCACCCAGUGGAAGAAGAUCAUCAUCAAUCAAAGAAAAACUCAGUAUUUAGUGCAAAGCAUGAGGCUUCUUUCGGGUCAUCGAGAUCACUGAAGGUUGGGGAAGGGACAUCAAUGAGAAAGAUUUCAAACAAAGACGGAUCUUCUUCUUCUAGAAAGUACAUAUGGGGGCUUAAACCUCCUCCAGCGCUUGGGCUCUCUAUGGACUUGCUUUUCAGGAGCAGAUCAGAGGUGUUUGGGGUCCGGAGAUAGGAUUAGAUGAAAGGGGGAAAUGAGUUGGACAGUUUUAUUAGUGCAUCAAUAAUAAAGUAUUGGUUGAAGUUCAAGUUCAUAUUCUUUGUAGCAGAAUUGAAAGAGCGAGAGAGUGCACAAAUGAAAUGUAGUUUGACUCUGGUGUAAAAAAAAAACACAGUUCAGGUAGUCUUAGAAUCCUACUUUAUAAAUUGUAUAGUUGUUGAAAUAUGUUUUUGAGGCUUCCAAGAUUAAAAUGUUCAUCCAUUUUCUAAUAUCCCUUGCUUAAUAUAUCAGUUUUUAACAGUCGCCAAUCGUAUCAGGAUAACACACUAAAUGGAAACUAUUCUAGAAAUGACAUACUUGAAAAAUUAUAGAACAUAAAACAGGAUCAGGAACACCUCAUUCAUUAUUUGGUGGGAUUUGCCUCCCCAAUCACUCCACAAAAGAAAAGGCAGGUGUUAUGAACUCUCUUACUAGACUCCCAAAGAUGUAUAAUUUUCAAUUCGCAAGACAAAAAGGAAAAAUAAAAACCGUAAGCCAGAGGAUUAACAAUAGCAAGAGAUCAAAUAAAAAAUCACGAGGAACGGUUGUUUUGUAGCAAAAGAGACAUCAUUUUUCUCCUUUUUCUUAUUUUCCUUCCCUUUAAAGAUCAAAGAAGAAAUGUGUUGGGGGUGGUGUCUGACGAUGAACAUUUUCUUUAUUUGGAUCUGUAACAAGCUCUCUUGGCUGCUCGAACGAUAUCCUCUACCUGAGGAAGAGCCAAUCUCUCUAGGUUAGCUGCGUAAGGCAUUGGAACAUCAGCUCCUGCUAUCCUCUCCACCGGUGCAUCCAAGUAUGAAAAGCUCUCCUCCACAACCGACGCAC